GAAUGGGGAUUGAUUAUUGAAUAGAUGAAAUUGAGUAACACAAGAGAAAUCGGGUGGAUGUUACAUGAUUUUAGUUGAUUUUGAAAAAAAUAGUAAUGAAAGAUGAAGGUGAAAAUCGUGAGAAGGAUGAUGUUUGAGAAAGAGAUAUUUUGGAAUUUAGAGAUCCAAAUUAAGUAGGAUGGGUUAGUGGGUUAGGAUACUAAGAGGUUGAGUUAGUAAAUAAGUAGAACUUUCUAGGUUUCAUGGUCUUUUCCUCCUAUUUUUUAUUUAAUUUUAACUCAUUUUUAAAAUAAAAAGACAAGAGAUCCAUAUGAGAUUAUUUUGACCCCUUAUGGUCCAUUACAGCAUUUGAUCCGUGUAGUAAGCUAAUUUUUAACAUAUUUUGCAAGGCGUUAAAUUUGUAAAUUAAUUGAUUAAGAGGGACAUAGCUAAAUGGCCCUUCAAUACAUAGAGCUCGUGAAGCACAGAUCCA
rnacentral:lncRNA from 1 species